rnacentral:rRNA from 1 species
CCCUUAGAUGUCCGGGGCCGCACGCGCGCUACAAUGGAUGAAUCAACGCGUCAUCCUGGCCCGAAAGGGUUGGGGAACCGCUGAACCUCAUCCGUGGUUGGGAUUGGGGUUUGUAAUUAUUCCCCAUGAACUAGGAAUUCCCAGUAAGCGCGAGUCAUAAGCUCGCGUUGAUUACGUCCCUGCCCUUUGUACACACCACCCGUCGCUACUACCGAUUGGAUGGUUUAGUGAGAUCCUCGGAUUGGUCACGGCACGGUGGCAACACUGCGUCGGUGUGCCGAGAAGACGAUCAAACUUGAUCAUCUAGAGGAAGUAAAAGUCGUAACA